ensembl:snRNA U6 U6 spliceosomal RNA
GUGCUCGCUUCGGCAGCACAUAUACUAAAAUUGGAGCAAUACAGAGAAGAUUGGCACGCCCCCUGUACAAGGAUGACACACAAGUUAGUGAAGUGUUCCAUAUAUAU